rnacentral:rRNA from 1 species
GCCAGGAGGUUGGCUUAGAAGCAGCCAUCCUUUAAAGAGUGCGUAAUAGCUCACUGGUCGAGGAUCUCUGCGCCGAAAAUGUAGGGGGCUAAGCAUGGCGCCGAAGACACGGGAUGUACAUUUGUACAUCGGUAGGGGAGCGUUGCCACCGGGGAGAAGCGACAUUGUAAAGUGUUGUGGACUGGUGGGAAGUGAGAAUGCAGGCAUGAGUAACGACAAACAGGUGAGAAUCCUGUUCACCGGAAGACCAAGGAUUCCUGGGGAAGGUUGAUCCGCCCAGGGUUAGGCGGGGCCUAAGGCAAGGCCGAGAGGCGUAGUCGAUGGACAGCAGGUAGACAUUCCUGCCCCGUUCUUGAACGUUACAACCGAAGUAGUGACGCAGGAGGCUAGGUGGAGCCGGCGGAUGGAAGAGCCGGUCUAAGGGAGUAGGCAGGGGAGGCAGGCAAAUCCACCUUUCCAUAUAAAUGCUGAGACCUGAAAGGGAGCACCCACGGGUGCGAAGCCAUUGACGCCAUGCUGCCGAGAAAAGCUGCUAGGGAGGACAAGGACGCCCGUACCGUAAACCGACACAGGUGGUCAGGCUGAGAAGGCUCAGGUGAGUGGAAGAACCAUCGUUAAGGAACUCUGCAAGUUGACUCCGUAACUUCGGGAGAAGGAGUACCAUCCAGGUGAAGCGAAUGCUUGUGGAGCCGAGGGUGGUCGCAGAAACCAGGCCCAAGCGACUGUUUACUAAAAACACAGGACUCUGCAUAAGGCGUAAGCCGAAGUAUAGGGUCUGACGCCUGCCCGGUGCUGGAAGGUUAAGGGGAGAGGUAAGUCUUUAUAGGCGAAGCUUUGAACCGAAGCCCCAGUAAACGGCGGCCGUAACUAUAACGGUCCUAAGGUAGCGAAAUUCCUUGUCGGGUAAGUUCCGACCUGCACGAAUGGCGUAACGCGUAACGAUUUGGGCGCUGUCUCGACGAUGGAUCCAGUGAAAUUGUGGUACCGGUAAAGACGCCGGUUACCCGUGGUGGGACGGAAAGACCCCGUGGAGCUUUACUGUAGCUUGGCAUUGGUACUCGUCAUAUCAUGUACAGUAUAGGUGGGAGCCGUAGAAGGUAUAUCGUCAGAUGUGCUGGAGGCGUCGUUGGGAUACCACCCUUGUUAUGAUAAGUAUCUAACCGCUGCUUCUGAAUCGGAGAGUGGGACAUUGUCAGGUGGGCAGUUUGACUGGGGCGGUCGCCUCCUAAAGAGUAACGGAGGCGCGCAAAGGUCAUCUCAGGGCGAAUGGAAAACGCCCGCAGAGCGCAAGGGUAUAAGAUGGCUUGACUGAGAGACAGACAUGUCGACCAGAGACGAAAGUCGGUCCUAGUGAUCCGGCGGUACCGAAUGGAAGGGCCGUCGCUCAUCGGAUAAAAGCUACCCCGGGGAUAACAGGCUGAUCUCCCCCGAGAGUUCCCAUCGACGGGGAGGUUUGGCACCUCGAUGUCGGCUCGUCGCAUCCUGGGGCUGAAGCAGGUCCCAAGGGUUGGUCUGUUCGCCCAUUAAAGCGGUACGUGAGCUGGGUUUAGAACGUCGUGAGACAGUUCGGUCCCUAUCCACCAUGGGCGCAAGGUAUUUGAGGAGAGCUGCUCCUAGUACGAGAGGACCGGAGUGGACGCACCGCUGGUGUACCAGUUGUGUCGCCAGAUGCAUAAGCUGGGUAGCUAUGUGCGGAACGGAUAACCGCUGAAGGCAUCUAAGCGGGAAGCCGCCUCCAAGAUGAGAUACCUCACUGU